rnacentral:rRNA from 1 species
AAUUUUUUAACCGCGGCCUAACUAUGCUAUUAUGAAGUCUAUGCUCCUCUCCUCCCGAUUGCUUGCACUCAAUUGGAAAGAGGAGUGGCGGACGGGUGAGUAACACGUGGGUAACCUACCCAUCAGAGGGGGAUAACACUUGGAAACAGGUGCUAAUACCGCAUAACAGUUUAUGCCGCAGGCAUAAGAGUGAAAGGCGCUUUCGGGUGUCGCUGAUGGAUGGACCCGCGGUGCAUUAGCUAGUUGGUGAGGUAACGGCUCACCAAGGCCACGAUGCAUAGCCGACCUGAGAGGGUGAUCGGCCACACUGGGACUGAGACACGGCCCAGACUCCUACGGGAGGCAGCAGUAGGGAAUCUUCGGCAAUGGACGAAAGUCUGACCGAACAACGCCGCGUGAGUGAAGAAUGUUUUCGGAUCGUAAAACUCUGUUGUUAGAGAAGAACAAGGACGUUAGUAACUGAACGUCCCCUGACGGUAUCUAACCAGAAAGCCACGGCUAACUACGUGCCAGCAGCCGCGGUAAUACGUAUGUGGCAAGCGUUGUCCGGAUUUAUUGGGCGUAAAGCGAGCGCAGGCGGUUUCUUAAGUCUGAUGUGAAAGCCCCCGGCUCAACCGGGGAGGGUCAUUGGAAACUGGGAGACUUGAGUGCAGAAGAGGAGAGUGGAAUUCCAUGUGUAGCGGUGAAAUGCGUAUAUAUAUGGAGGAACACCAGUGGCGAAGGCGGCUCUCUGGUCUGUAACUGACGCUGACGCUCGAAAGCGUGGGGAGCAAACAGGAUUAUAUACCCUGGUAGUCCACGCCGUACACGAUGAGUGCUAAGUGUUGGGAGGGUUUCCGCCCUUCAGUGCUGCAGCAAACGCAUUAAGCACUCCGCCUGGGGGAGUACGACCGCAGGGUUGAAACUCAAAGGAAUUGACGGGGGGCCCCGCACAAGCUGGUGGAGCAUGUGGUUUUAUUUCGAAGCAACGCGAAGAAUCUUACCACGUCGUGACAUCCUUUCGACACUCUAGAGAUAGAGCUUUCCUUCGAGACAAAGUGACAGUGUGCAUGGUGUCGUCAGCUCGUGUCGUGAGAUGGUGGGAUUAGUUCCGCACGGAGCGCACUCUUAUGUAGUUGCCAUCAUUAAGUUGGGCACUCUAGCGAGACUGCGUACAUCGAAGAACGGGGAGAACAGCGACUAUAUGCCCUAUAGAACGUGGGCUUAACAAC